rnacentral:rRNA from 1 species
GAUCAUGGCUCAGGACGAACGCUGGCGGCGUGCCUAACACAUGCAAGUCGAACGAGAAUCAUAUGACGGAGGCUUCGGCCAACUGAGUAUGAGGAAAGUGGCGAACGGGUGAGUAACGCGUGAGGAACCUGCCUCGGAGUGGGGGACAACAGUUGGAAACGACUGCUAAUACCGCAUAAUGUGCCUGAAGGGCAUCCUUUGGGUACCAAAGCUUUAUGUGCUCUGAGAUGGCCUCGCGUCUGAUUAGAUAGUUGGUGGGGUAACGGCCUACCAAGUCUGCGAUCAGUAGCCGGGUUGAGAGACUGAACGGCCACAUUGGGACUGAGAUACGGCCCAGACUCCUACGGGAGGCAGCAGGUGGGGAAUAGUUUGGGCAAGUGGGGGAAACCCUGACCCAGCAACGCCGCGUGAAGGAAGAAGGCUUUCGGGUUGUAAACUUCUUUACCGGGGACGAAGGACGUGACGGUACCUGGAGAAAAAGCCACGGCUAACUACGUGCCAGCCGCGGC